AGAGUUUGAUCCUGGCUCAGGACGAACGCUGGCGGCGUGCCUAACACAUGCAAGUCGAACGGUGCCAUUGAUAAGCUUGCUUAAAGAUGGUUUAGUGGCGGACGGGUGAGUAACGCGUGAGGAACCUGCCUUUCAGAGGGGGAUAACGUCUGGAAACGGACGCUAAUACCGCAUGAUAUUUUGAAGCCGCAUGGUUUUAAAAUCAAAGGAGCAAUCCGCUGAGGGAUGGACUCGCGUCCGAUUAGCCAGUUGGCGGGGUAAAGGCCCACCAAAGCGACGAUCGGUAGCCGGACUGAGAGGUUGAACGGCCACAUUGGGACUGAGACACGGCCCAGACUCCUACGGGAGGCAGCAGUGGGGGAUAUUGCACAAUGGAGGAAACUCUGAUGCAGCAACGCCGCGUGAGGGAAGAAGGUCUUCGGAUUGUAAACCUCUGUCCUCAGGGACGAUAAUGACGGUACCUGAGGAGGAAGCUCCGGCUAACUACGUGCCAGCAGCCGCGGUAA
rnacentral:rRNA from 1 species